rnacentral:rRNA from 1 species
CAGCCGCCGCGGUAAUACGGAGGGAGCUAGCGUCGUUCGGAAUUACUGGGCGUAAAGCGCGCGUAGGCGGUUACUCAAGUCAGAGGUGAAAGCCCGGGGCUCAACCCCGGAACUGCCUUUGAAACUAGGUGACUAGAAUCUUGGAGAGGUCAGUGGAAUUCCGAGUGUAGAGGUGAAAUUCGUAGAUAUUCGGAAGAACACCAGUGGCGAAGGCGACUGACUGGACAAGUAUUGACGCUGAGGUGCGAAAGCGUGGGGAGCAAACAGGAUUAGAUACCCGGGUAGUCCCUGUCUCUUAUAA